rnacentral:rRNA from 1 species
UACGAAGGGGGCUAGCGUUGUUCGGAAUGACUGGGCGUAAAGGGCGCGUAGGCGGUUUUAUAAGUCAGAUGUGAAAGCCUUGGGCUUAACCUGAGAAUAGCAUUUGAGACUGUAAGACUAGAGGACGAGAGAGGAAAGUGGAAUUACGAGUGUAGAGGUGAAAUUCGUAGAUAUUCGUAAGAACACCAGUGGCGAAGGCGACUUUCUGGCUCGUAUCUGACGCUAAGGCGCGAAAGCGUGGGGAGAAAACAGG